rnacentral:rRNA from 1 species
GUAGGCUGGUUUUCCAGGCAAAUCCGGAAAAUCAAGGCUGAGGCGUGAUGACGAGGCACUACGGUGCUGAAGCAACAAAUGCCCUGCUUCCAGGAAAAGCCUCUAAGCAUCAGGUAACAUCAAAUCGUACCCCAAACCGACACAGGUGGUCAGGUAGAGAAUACCAAGGCGCUUGAGAGAACUCGGGUGAAGGAACUAGGCAAAAUGGUGCCGUAACUUCGGGAGAAGGCACGCUGAUAUGUAGGUGAAGUCCCUCGCGGAUGGAGCUGAAAUCAGUCGAAGAUACCAGCUGGCUGCAACUGUUUAUUAAAAACACAGCACUGUGCAAACACGAAAGUGGACGUAUACGGUGUGACGCCUGCCCGGUGC